AUUCUGCCCAAGCGGGGAAGGAUGAGAAGCUUCGACCAAGGUUCGACUCGAGCGUCAGCGAGAGAGCGUUGCCGCAGGCAACGACCCGAAGGGCGAAGCGCGCAGCGCUGAGUAAUCCUUCCCCCACCACCA
rnacentral:sRNA from 1 species